rnacentral:rRNA from 1 species
GAUGAACGCUAGCUACAGGCUUAACACAUGCAAGUCGAGGGGCAGCAUGAACUUAGCUUGCUAAGUUUGAUGGCGACCGGCGCACGGGUGAGUAACACGUAUCCAACCUGCCGAUGACUCGGGGAUAGCCUUUCGAAAGAAAGAUUAAUACCCGAUGGCAUAGUUCUUCCGCAUGGUAGAACUAUUAAAGAAUUUCGGUCAUCGAUGGGGAUGCGUUCCAUUAGGUUGUUGGCGGGGUAACGGCCCACCAAGCCUUCGAUGGAUAGGGGUUCUGAGAGGAAGGUCCCCCACAUUGGAACUGAGACACGGUCCAAACUCCUACGGGAGGCAGCAGUGAGGAAUAUUGGUCAAUGGACGAGAGUCUGAACCAGCCAAGUAGCGUGAAGGAUGACUGCCCUAUGGGUUGUAAACUUCUUUUAUACGGGAAUAAAGUGAGGCACGUGUGCCUUUUUGUAUGUACCGUAUGAAUAAGGAUCGGCUAACUCCGUGCCAGCAGCCGCGGUAAUACGGAGGAUCCGAGCGUUAUCCGGAUUUAUUGGGUUUAAAGGGAGCGCAGGCGGCGGCGUAAGUCAGUUGUGAAAUCGUGCGGCUUAACCGUGCAAUUGCAGUUGAUACUGCGUCGCUUGAGUGCACACAGGGAUGUUGGAAUUCAUGGUGUAGCGGUGAAAUGCUUAGAUAUCAUGAAGAACUCCGAUCGCGAAGGCAUAUGUCCGGAGUGCAACUGACGCUGAGGCUCGAAAGUGUGGGUAUCAAACCAGG